UCGGGUGUGGUGCAGGGUGCACGGCGGCUUUCGGUAAUUUUCCGCAGUGAUUGCAGCCGCAGAUCGGGGUUCGACUCCCGCACUCGAC